UACGGGGGGGGCAAGCGUUGUUCGGAAUUACUGGGCGUAAAGGGUUUGUAGGUGGCCAACUAAGUCAGACGUGAAAUCCCUCAGCUUAACUGGGGAACUGCGUCUGAUACUGGUUGGCUUGAGUGCAGGAGAGGAACGCGGAAUUCCAGGUGUAGCGGUGAAAUGCGUAGAUAUCAGGAGGAACACCGGUGGCGAAAGCGCUCAUCUGGCCCAAUACUGACGCUGAGGCGCGAAAGCUAGGGGAGCAAACGGG
rnacentral:rRNA from 1 species